UUCAGUUCCCUUUGAAGCCACAAAACAUCCAGCCUAACAAUUUCACAUGAGCAUAAUGUUCAACCAUAAGAGAAACUUCUUCAUCUGGUAGAAUUAGGUUUGAUAAUUUGCUGAUUAAUAGAAAAAUUCAGAUAAUCCUGGUAACCAUAGAAAUGAAAAUUCUGCGUUAAACUUCAUUUUCUCUGUCAGCCUGAGUAGAUCACAUUUGAGCACUCACUGUAGACCAGCGCUGGCUAUUUUCUUUUGGUGAGUUCUUCAGUCUUCAAGCACAGGCUGCCCGCUUCUCAUCCACCCCGCCAGCCGCUAGCCUGCAGCAUGACCGUUGGGUUUCAGAGCUGGUGUCAGAAGUUGGAGCCCUCCUCCUGCACUGUCUACCAGUGCCAAAACAAUCAGAUUAAUUCGGGUACCAGCCUGCCAAGCCAGCCAGCCCGCUCAGCAGAACACCCGAGGUCCUAGAACAGAAGUUAAGAGAAUGAACCAGGAAGGAUAAUUGCCAGACUGAUGGGGCCAAGUGUUUCUCAUUAGGUUGUUGUGAUCGCUACAUCCCUGCACCACUGAUUGGCGGUAUAGAAAAGUGUGUCAUUCCACCUAAACCAACACAAACCCUGUCACAGCCUUGAAUGUCACAGGCACAUGAGCAAAGCCAGAGCUCAUGAGCUCUGAAUCACCCUAGAACAGCCAUCAUCUUCAAAAGAAACCAAGUGACCUGCAAAGUCUCAGACAUACAAAUUCCCUACGGCAACAAAAACAAAUAUCAUCUCAAUGCAUGGAAAAGAAAAAGAGGAAAGGGGGUUCUGAAUUGCACAUGGGUUCUCCAUCCCACCCAAACCACACGGGAUGUUAAGGGAGGUCACCGACGAAAGACCAGAGGAACAAUUCCAUCCACGUUCAGCUUCACGAACCAGGAGAUGUUUCUGAGGUCACUCAUAGGAUCACAGACUAAGCCAAGCUUCGUCAGUCACAGCAGGGGCCAGAGACACAGGUCUGGGCUCCAUGGGCUCCAGUCUCUGGAAUGUGUGCAGAGACCUCCACUCAGGUGAAGCCAGGACUCCUGACUGCAUGACAGGAAAGACUCUCAGAGUUGAUGUGAAGCAGUGUUGGGUUUAUUAGGAAGAUAUUUUAACAUUGGAUUGAGCAAUAGGUCUUAAGGAAGAGGGAGGGAAGAGAGAGAAGGGAAGGAGGGAGGGAGAAAAAGAGAGAGAGAGAGAGAGAGAGAGAGAGAGAGAGAGAGAGAGAACUGGCUGGCUGAGGUCUUUUCAAGAGGUAGCUUUUAAAAGCUAUAUAUUUUGGUGUUCUGACUCUGCGUUGUUCAAGGCAUUUCUAUGGACCUCCCCGCCUUCUUUUGCCUUUUUAGUGAAGUCAGAGGGUGCAUCUGUAGUUCACAGUAGAGGAAAUCCUCACUGUCUCAAGUGGUUGUGGGGUGGGCAAUAUGGAUGUCGAGAGCCGAACUUGGGUCCCCGGAAGAGCAGAAAGAACUCUUAAUGACUGGCUCCAAUCUUAAAAUUUUGUAACAUUCUAUUGCAAAUAAGACUUGUAGACUUUCCCAGGUGAUGUAAAUAAUCUAGUUGUCCUGUCAAAGAUGGGCUAAUUCACAUGACACAGCAGGCUCGUGUGACUUGGCCACCAUGUUGAAUGCACAUGUGACUGGAACCUUAGAGUCUGCCAGGAAGACCUGGAGGAAAGAAAUAGAGUCACUGGUUACAGCUUUCUCCUUAGUGAGGCUACUAUCCAUCGUCAUGGCCGCCCAAACCCAAGGUUCUAGAAGGUUUCCAGUAAGAAAAUGACACCGUUUGCUAUGGAAGUCAAAGCAACUGCACGGAAGGCUGGAUCUGUGAAGCAGACCCUCGACUGUUUAUCGUAUACACAUUCCAUUGUUCAUGGUUUCCCGGCCUCUUUGUAGCACAGCUCUGACAACUGUCCAUCAACAGCAGGGAGGCGACACAGGGGGGGACAAUCCAAGUGCAGAACCAUUAUUCAAAUAGUGGAAAGUGUGUCUGUUCGGGUGACCAUAUACAAUCUGUAUAGCUUUUAAUAGGGAAAUACAAUAGCUCUUGAUUAUGCCAAGACUAUGAAUAACGACAUUGUUUAAAGUCUUGGCAGAAAUACAUAGAGGAGUAAUUAAUGUAUGGAAAAUAACAAUUGCAGGGAGUCUAAUUGUAUAAUCAAAUUAAUAAUGGAAUUCCACAACCUCGGGAGCUCCCCCUCUCCUCAUUCAUUCACUUACCCUGCUGCUUUUGGUAGAAGUAUCAUGUUUUUCUGACCCGUCCUCCGUCCCAUAAGUCUUGGGAUAUAAUUGAAACCUGAGCUUCGCCAGGACAAGAAACAGUGUUAAAAAGUUCUGUUCUUUAUGGCGGUCCAGUGGCUUAGCCUUUACCCAGGGGGCUUUGCGUUAAGUUCAUAAUGCUACACUCACAAAGCUUCCCUUGGUUUAAAUAGUGUGAGAAUAGCCUGCAUGCAGUGCACACUGGAGACAGAGGCUGUCAUUCAUAUGUUCUGUCAAUUUGUGUGUGUGUUGGUACUUUUUAAAGUGAUUUAUUUUGCUUUCACAUAUAUGUAUCUGUGUGUGUCCAUGCCCGUGCAAGCCAGAGAUGUCAGAAUCCCUGAAGCUGGGGUUACAGGCAGUUGUUAACUUCCUGAUAUAUGUGCUGGCAACCAAACUCUGGUCCCCUUUAAGAACAGUAGGCUCUCAUAACUGCUGAACCAUCUCUUCAGACCCCAGGUAUGUUAAGAUCUCUUUGUCGGUUAAAUCUGAAAACAGACCAAUCAACAAACAGAGAUUUUGGGUCCCAUUAUAGUCACUUGACCUCCUGAACUUUGGACAACAUAAACAAGUUAGGGCCAGUGAUGUUGUUGCGACCUAUCGCAAGUACUGAGCAUAUAUCCUUAUGCCACGACUCCUGUGCCAACACCGUACAAAUGCUCUCUGUGUAAAUAUGACACAUUCAGCUCACGGAAGGAGCCAGAGUGUCAGGGAGGUGUUCACCAGAAGGUUGCGACACUUGGCCCCCUGACUGUGGUUUUAUUUGGAUUCUCUUAGCAACAGCUUAUGGUUUGCUUAAGAUGAAUAGUUUUCAGGAGACUGACAUGGAACUGACUUAGUACAGAAUGUGUCUUGUGUUAGUUAAACUCCAAAGGAUUAAUCCUGCUAGCUUUCAUAAAUAACACCUGCUCAAGCCUGCUGGCGUUGUCUGUCCACAUGGAACGCACCAGUGCAAAUCCUGGCAGAACUGACAGACUGAAUAAGCAAAACCACAUAAUAUUUAAUUCUUUUUUUUUUAAAAAAAAAAACCCUGUUGUUCUUCUUUUGAUAAUUUGGAAAUUAACCCCCAAACAGCCAUUUUCAAGCAAUUGUGCAAUCACUCGAUUUUAUGCCACUGUAGAAAAAGAGCAUGCAAUAUUGACUCUCUAGUCUGAGUUUCCCAGUAUCUUCUAUGGGGAUUUAAGAGUUUUCCAGAAUGUCUCUGGAUAUUAGCAACAAGUACAUUGCUGACAAUCGGCGUAGGGUCAAGGGACUUGGCAGGCUCAGCAGGUAACUUUCUCAAGUUCAUGUGGUCGGUAGAUUGCAAAGUCGGCUGCACUCUGUACCAUGCGCAGCAGCCCACUUCUCUCUGCUGCUCUGCUUUGCAGGCAAUUCCAGUGGCAGGCAUGCUUCCCUUGCAGGAACCUGAACUGGUGGGCAUGCGGCCUGUUUUGACCCAGGCUAUCUUUCUGUGUGCCCUUCUGGCUGUCUCUGUCCUGUUUCCCUCUCUCCCGUCCUGCUCUGUCUCCCUCCCCAACAGGUUUAAGCUAGUCUGAGGAAGAACUAUAAAUCCUCUGGAGUAUAGCCCUGGCUCCCUGGCCUGGGACUCUAUCUGCCAGUCAACCCAGCUUCCUAAAGACACCUCAGCAAGCCGGAUAGUAUCUGUGGAGAUAAGCUGAGCCGAGCAUCGCUGCUCGGCUGACUAAUGAGCUCAGGAGAAACAAUAAAUUGCUGUUUCAAGUCAUCAGGUUUUGAGGUGAACUCACUGGGCCAAUGGCGCACGGAUGUCCGUGAGGACACAACACUAAGAACUUGCUUAGGGAAGUCGCUAAACAAACAUGGACGACCAAAGCAGCAGCAUCAGAACACAGGCAGCUCCGAGAACUUGACGUAUGAGCAACAUCUGAUAUCCAGAGCCAUCACACUCUAAAAUUCAAAAUGUCUGGGUUUUGUAAAAUUUGCUUUUAUUUGCGUGUGUGUGCAUGCACACGAUGGUGUGUGUGUGGAUACUAGUGGAGGCCAGAAGAGAACGGUGGAUCUCCUGAAGGGUGUUACAGGCAGUUGUGAGUCACACUAUGUGGGGUCUGGGAACAAAAAUGGCGGCCUUUGCAAGAGCAGCAAGUACUCUUAAAUGCCAGCCAUCUCUCCAGCAACCAAAAUGUCUAGUUUCCAUCAAAAGUUAUUAGGCAUAUGACAACAGAAACAGAAAGCUUGGUCUCUUCACAGGGAAAAAGAAAUCAGUAGGAGACAUUCAUGAAGAGAUUUGACCGUAGCACAACGCCUGCUCUAUGUGCUAUGUGCUACAGUUUGCGAGUCAGGAAAGGACCUGGAGAUACACACACACACACACACACACACACACACACAGAGAGAGAGAGAGAGAGAGAGAGAGAGAGCCAAGAAUGCCCAAAAUGCUCUCUUUAUUGUGUUCCAGGGCAGCUUAUAUAGGGUCUCUUUGACUAAUGCCCAUGCCCUAACUCUCAGCUGCAAACCCACCAGAAACCACUCCCCAGACAUCAGGAGCUUUUGAGAGUUUCGUGCUCAGAGCAGCUGCAAGCACAGGAAAACCAGUUGUUUACUCCAGCAGGCAGGGGUCACAGGAAAUUCAGGGUCUGGGGAUCCACUGUCCCCAACACUUGACCAUGGAAUGAAGCAGUAGUCAAAUACAUUGAAUAUGUUCAAAGAUAUGUGAAAAGCAUGGGUGAAAAAUGAAACUAAGAGGUCAGUGUUAAUAAAAGAGUGUGAUGGGAAUUACUGACUCUCAGCUUGAUGGGACCUACAGUUGCCCAGGAGACUAACCUCUGGGCAUAACUCGAGCUGUUUUCCAAAUUAGGUUGACUUCUGGGCACACCUGUGAGCAAUCAUCUCCAUUAGAUUGAUUGAGGUUGGAAGAGCCAACUAACAGUGGGUGACACCGCUUCCGGGGCUUGGGUUCUAGUCUGUACAGAGGAGAGCUUGAGCUAAACACCUCGAUUCGUCCCCCUGUUUCCUGGCUGUGGAUGUGCUGCAACAGUGGCCCCAUGCCCCCUCUGCCAUGGUGAAGAUACCCGCGGGAGAAUAUAAAGAGAUUGGGGGAUUCUGUACUGAUUGUACAUUUUAUGUUUGUAUAUCUCAUAAAGCUAAGUGCCAUGGACAUUAAAGGAGCUUCUGCCAGCCAA